CACACCCACUCCAACAAGGCCACACCUACUCCAACAAGGCCACACCUACUCCAACAAGGCCACACCUCAUAGUGCCACUCCCUGAGUGGAUCAUAUACAAACUGUCACAGAGAAGAAAUGUUUAGACUUAACUCUUUAAAAAUCUGAAUCACUGUAAGCUAGAGAGCUUGUGACAAAACCCUGGUAGUCGACCUUCACUCCAGGGUUUUGCAUUUUAUUGGUCUGAGGUGUGACCUGAGCGAAUGGCACUGCAGCCAGGCCAGAGAACCAACAGAUGUGAGGAGCACCGUGGUCAUAAGAAAGCCGGCAAAGACUCCACUCCAAGCACAGUAACAGGGGUGACAUCGUGGAAUUGGACCGCGGCCUACAGAGGGGCAAGGGGGUCCCCCAAGUAUUUUAAAGAGAACGGGCCAAAAUGGAGCCACACCAUUAAAAGGAAUUAACAAACCUGAAA